ACCUAAAGGUUCAUCAUUCUAUUCUGCUGGGUGGCCACUAUAUACUGCUAGGUGUCACUAGUGGAUGGUGAGACUCACAGGGAUCAUCUUGAUGGUCGAUAAUCCCUGAUGAGUUGAGUUGAAAUUGUUUCAACCUAUUAAAAGGAGUUUUCAAUGAUAUUGUGAUAGAGAUUGCAAUAUAUCUCACUACCAGUCAGAAUGGAACUUAUGGGGUCACACACAUUAGAGGUAUUGACCGAUCCGAUGGUUAAAUGUGAUUAGGAAUCACAAAUAAUCAAUUAGAUUGAUAAAUUGAAAAUCCGCUAAGAGUUAGUGGUUGAAAGAAGGAAAAAUUGCAAUCGGAUUGCAAUUUAAUUUAAUUAAUUGGAUUUAAUUAAUUGGACUUCAUCAUGAGUCCUACUUGGAGUGGGAUUCAUGAAGUCCUAAUUGGAUUAGAAUUUCAAAUUAAAUUAGAAUCCUAUUUGAAAUAGGAUUUCUAAAGUCCUAAUUGUCUUAGGGCUGAAAUUUGAACAAGUCCUGAUUAGAUUAGGAUUUUCUUAAGUCCUAAUUAAUUUUAAAUUUAAUCUAAUUAAUUUUAUGACUCCUAAUUGGAUUAGGAUUAAAGAGUUUGAUAAGUGCAUAAUAAUUUAUAAUUUAGUUAUCUUUCCAUAGCACUUAUCAAUGUUCUUAAACUGAUAAAUACGUAUUUUACCAUAAAAUUGAAUAAUCGUUGAAAUAAAUUUACAAUAUGGUAAAAAGAAAUAAUAAUAAUUUUUUUCUUAAACCAGAUUCUGAACUUAUUCUCUCUUGGUUGCAAUCUUUCAUGAAAACUACAGAAAAACAUAUAAGGAGAUUGUGUUGACUCGGCUAAGGUUAUAAUUAAAGGGGUUUUGGUCCUAAUUAGAUUGAAAGCUAUAAUUAAUUAUUUUUGUAUGGAAAAAAUGUUUGAUUAAUUUUAUUAAGUCACGGUCCUGUUUUUAGUUUUGUCGAGUCCGGUCUGAAGCAGUUUAGCAAGAAUUGAAUUUAAAUAACAUUGGGCUCGAGACCAAGUUCAAGCAAAUUAAAGAUCAUAACCUACCUCAAAUCCAAAGCCAAUUCCCAAACCAAUCCUAUUCCUUUCUCGCGACCACUAUCCAAGCAAUCCAACGGUUCAGAAACU
rnacentral:lncRNA from 1 species